rnacentral:rRNA from 1 species
UAGGUGGCGAGCGUUGUCCGGAAUUACUGGGUGUAAAGGGAGUGUAGGCGGGAAGGCAAGUCAGAAGUGAAAACUAUGGGCUUAACCCAUAGCCUGCUUUUGAAACUGUUUUUCUUGAGUGAAGCAGAGGCAAGCGGAAUUCCUAGUGUAGCGGUGAAAUGCGUAGAUAUUAGGAGGAACACCAGUGGCGAAGGCGGCUUGCUGGGCUUUUACUGACGCUGAGGCUCGAAAGCGUGGGGAGCAAA